UCCUACGGGGGGCAGCAGUGAGGAAUAUUGGUCAAUGGGCGGAAGCCUGAACCAGCCAAGUCGCGUGAGGGAUUAAGGCCCUGCGGGUCGUAAACCUCUUUUGCCGGGGAGCAGAGGUCCGGACGUGUCCGGGCCGGGAGAGUACCCGGAGAAAAAGCAUCGGCUAACUCCGUGCCAGCAGCCGCGGUAAUACGGAGGAUGCGAGCGUUAUCCGGAUUUAUUGGGUUUAAAGGGUGCGUAGGCGGGCAUUUAAGCCGGCGGUCAAAUGUCGGGGCUCAACCCCGGCCUGCCGUCGGAACUGGGUG
rnacentral:rRNA from 1 species